UUUAACUGAGCGUUCAGUUACUUGACGUAGACCCGAAACCGGGCGACCUACCCAUGAGCAGGAUGAAGCGAAAGUAAAAUUUCGUGGAGGUCCGAACCCACGAGCGUUGAAAAGCUCGGGGAUGACUUGUGGGUAGCGGUGAAAUUCCAAUCGAGCCCGGAGAUAGCUGGUUCUCCCCGAAAUAGCUUUAGGGCUAGCCUCAAGGUGAGAGAUACGGAGGUAGAGCACUGAAUGUCCUAGGGGGUAUUGCACCUACCGAAGACUAUCAAACUCCGAAUGCCGUCAUCUUAUACUUGGGAGUCAGACUGUGGGUGAUAAGAUUCAUAGUCGAAAGGGCAACAGCCCAGAUCGUCAGCUAAGGUCCCUAAAUGUAAGUUAAGUGGUAAAGGAUGUGGGAUUGCACAGACAACCAGGAUGUUGGCUUAGAAGCAGCCACUCAUUCAAAGAGUGCGUAAUAGCUCACUGGUCGAGUGAUCCUGCGCCGAAGAUUUCCGGGGCUAAAACUUACUACCGAAGCUACGGCAUCAGUAAUGAUGGGUAGGGGAGCUUCCCAUACGGGUUGAAGCAUGACCGUAAGGACAUGUGGACAGUAUGGGAGUGAGAAUGUUGGCAUGAGUAGCGAGAUGUGGGUGAGAAUCCCACAGGCCGUAAACCCAAGGUUUCCAGGGGAAGGUUCGUCCGCCCUGGGUUAGUCGGGACCUAAGCUGAGGCCGAAAGGCGUAGGUGAUGGACAACAGGUUGAUAUUCCUGUACUACCGAUAACCGUUUGAGAGAUGGGAUGACACAGUAGGAUAAGCUAAGCACACUGUUGGUUAUGUGUGCCCAAGCAUUGAGGCAGUCAAA
rnacentral:rRNA from 1 species